rnacentral:rRNA from 1 species
GGAGUUAGCCGGUGCUUCUUCUGUGAGUGAUGUCCUUCCUGCCGGCUAUUAACCCGCAGGCCUUCUUCCUCACUGAAAGUGCUUUACAACCCGAAGGCCUUCUUCACACACGCGGCAUGGCUGGAUCAGGGUUGCCCCCAUUGUCCAAUAUUCCCCACUGCUGCCUCCCGUAGGAGUCUGGGCCGUGUCUCAGUCCCAGUGUGGCUGAUCAUCCUCUCAGACCAGCUACGGAUCGUCGCCUUGGUGAGCCGUUACCUCACCAACCAGCUAAUCCGACAUAGGCUCAUCCGAUAGCGCGAGGCCCGAAGGUCCCCCGCUUUCCCCCGUAGGGCGUAUGCGGUAUUAGCCUGGGUUUCCCCAGGUUAUCCCCCACUACCGGGCAGUAUUCCUAUGCAUUACUCACCCGUCCGCCGCUCGCCACCAGGGAGCAAGCUCCCCGUGCUGACGCUCGACUUGCAUGUGUUAGGCCUGCCGCCAGCGUUCAAUCUGAACCAAGAUCAAACUCUGA